CGAUCCUAAUGUGAUUGCAGGACACAUUGAAGCAUUGAUAUUUUGAAUGUAUAUUGC
rnacentral:rRNA from 1 species